rnacentral:rRNA from 1 species
UACGGAGGGUGCAAGCGUUAUCCGGAUUCACUGGGUUUAAAGGGUGCGUAGGUGGGUUGGUAAGUCAGUGGUGAAAUCCCCCGAGCUUAACUUGGGAACUGCCAUUGAUACUAUCAGUCUUGAAUACCGUGGAGGUCAGCGGAAUAUGUCAUGUAGCGGUGAAAUGCUUAGAUAUGACAUAGAACACCAAUUGCGAAGGCAGCUGGCUACUCGGAUAUUGACACUGAGGCACGAAAGCGUGGGGGAUCAAACAGG